CUUGGUUCUUCACUUCAACUUUUCAAUUUUAAAAUAAAAAGCAAAUUGAACGGUUGAAUAAGCACACUGGCAUGCGGAGCGAUGGAGAGAAAUAGGAUUGAGAUAAGAACUUUACAAGGACACUUUGCCUGGGUCUUGCUAAUGUACAUCACUGUAAUACUUGUUCCCUUUCAGGAGGAAGGUGUAAAAUUGCACCAGACUAUGCAAAACCUCGAGAGACAGGCAUUAAAUGCUAUCAAGAACAUGUUGACCAGUGGAGGAACUUUUGAUCCAGAGGAGAUGGCAGAUCUGUUCUUUGACUGUGUUGACACAGAGAUCAAAUUUUACAAAUAAACUGUCAAAUGUGAAACUUCUGCAAAUUCCCUUUAGAUUGUGGUUUAUCAACUGCUGGACCAUUGACCAGAGAAAGUAAAGUAAAUGGAUAUCUUGCUUGAAACCAUUGAACCUGACACAUGCAUACACAAACUCCUCAUCAUAUGUGUUUGAAAACUCUCUUGCCUGCCCAUGGAUUUGCUGAUGUAUUGAUUUUUAACUAUUGGAAAAAUUGUCUUUUGUAGCUGCUAAUCUUGAGGUGCUGGUAAGCUGAUUGACAGUGAAAUAUGUAUUGAAAUCAGGAGACAAACUCUACAAAGGGAUGCUAAUGCAGCUAUUCCUAAUUAAGGCUAAUUAACAUGACCCACUAAACAGAUUAAUGUUGGGAAUAAUUAAUUUAAGUCAGAUUUAGGUUGUGAUUUCAAAUUAACUAUCCUCAUUUUUAAAAUAUUCAUACAAGGUAACAUUCUUGUGUUCAGGCAAACAUAGACCAACAAUAACCCAAUGCUAAAAUCUAACAUUGGCAAUGAGCUGGGAAAUGUUAAACUAAUGCACAAACCAAGGCAUUUCUCAUCAAAAUUAAUGGAGCCAUGACUACUUUUUUUUAAAAAAAAAAGUCACUUAAGUGCUCCAUUACAUUAGUAACGUAGCCUGUGAAACGUGUUGCCAUGCCAACAAUGCCCUAUUCAGUUGGUGUUUUCAAGUGGCCCAGUAAUUUCUUAAUGUCCUCUUCCUUUCUUCUGGAAGUUUAUCCUAAAAUAUAGGUUUACUGCACAAAGCAGCAGAUGUAUGGAGAUUGGUUUGGGAAAGUGCCAGUUUCAAUCACUGUCCCUGCUGACAGUUGGAUUUUAAUUUCUUUUUAUAAAAAUAGAAGAUCAAAAUGUUUAAUCAUUUCUGAUGUCCUGUGAUGGAAAGAGGGGCUCACCUUGAAUCUUGCUCGUAAGUGACAUCGAAUGAGUUCUGUUUGAAAGUGCUUGUGUGCAAACUUAACUCCUCAAAUUUGUAUAACUUAAUGCCAUUUAUUGCAAAGUCGUGGGCAUGGAGACUCUAAGCUGGUAUCUGGUGUCCUGCAAGAAUUGGGGUGGUGAGGCAUGGAGAAGAAGGAUAUAGGAAAGAAAAGACUGGUACUUGAGUGAAAUACUGCCCAUCCGUACUUGACAAGUAAAGUUAUCCCUUUUUUUUUUGGAGACAUCAUCUUUUAAUGGUGUCCUUCUGUUGCUUUGAUCUCCAUCUUCAAUUCUGUGGCCCAUGUGUAUCCAGUGAGUAGGUGUGGUAGUUUGACAACUGUCAGUAUAAGGGAUGGAGCAAGCUUUCACCUGUUCAAUAGUUGCUGUUUGUUGAAACAAAAAUAGAAAAUACUCUAAAACGGUGUGAAGACAUAAUUUCUUACACAAUCUAUGACAAAUGCUGCUGGACCUGAUUACUUCUGGCAUUUUCUGAUUUUAUUUCAGAUUUCCUGGAUUUCUAGUGGUUUGCUUUUCUGUUGUAGUCAUAGCUGAUUUCUGGUUUAUGUUAACGUUUUUUAGCUUGCAAAGACUGCUUCAGUUAUUUUGAGGGUUGGAGGGCCUUUGUUGUACAAGUGAAACCAAGGCUUGGUUGUACAAAACUUGAAUAUUAUAGAAAAGAGAGACAUGUUGUGAAAAUUACUUCUGUAUUGCAGUCAUUGGGACGAAUGCAAGAGUACCAAAUUUCAAAUUAUCACAACAAUUUUAUACUACAGGUGAAAAGACCAUAGACGUAGGAGAAGUGGGUCAUUCAGCCCACUGUGUCUACUCUGCCAUUCAAUGAAGUGAUGACGACUAAUCUGAUAACUCUCAACUCCACUUUCCUGCAGAACCCUUGAUUCAUUUUACUGAUUAAAAAUACCUCUCUCAGCCUUGCAUGUAUAUAGUGAGUCAACCUCAACAGCCUCGGUGUUAAAGAAUUCUGCAGAUUUACAACCCUCAAAAAUGUAUACUGAUGUCUCUCUUAAAUGUGUGCCCUCGUAUUCGUACUCAUCCACAAGGGGAAACAACUGUUCCACAGGUACCCCAUCAAGUCCUAUAAGGAUCUUGCAUUCUUGAAUAAAUGCAGCCCUUGUUAUUUUAUAUUCUAACCCGUACAGGCCCAAUCUACUCCAUCACCUCCACAGGGUCCAUCAAAACCUAGUACUGACCCAGUGAACCUUUUUUUUUAAUUCAUUCACGGGAUGAAGAUGAUGUUUUCUAGGCCAGCAUUUAUUGCCCAUCCCUAAUUUCACGUAGGCCAGAUCAGGCAAGGAUGACAGUUUACUUCUAGUGAACCAGGUGGGUUUUUUCGUCAUUGGCAAUGGAUUCAUGGUCAUCAUUAGACUCUUAUUUCCAGAUUUUUUAAAAAAAAAUUGAAUUCAAAUUCACCAUCUGCCAUAGUGGGAUUUGCUCCCCCAGACAUCUAAAUUAACAGUCCAGCAAUAUUACCACUCGGCCAUCGCCUCCCCUUCUCUGGACUGCCUCCAACGCCAGUAUAUCUAUUCAAGCAUAAAUGGCCCAAGACGAUUCACAAUAUUCCCAGGUGGUCCAACUAGGUUCUUGUAUAGUUGUAACAAAAUCUCUGACCUUUAUACUCCAUUCCCUCUGAAAUAGUGAACUUGAAGCUAGCUUUUUGUGAAUCGUGGAAAAAGCUGCUGAUUUGGUUUGAAUGAUUUCUCUGCUUGGCCAACGCAUUGCCAUGGAGAAAGCAACAAGGAAGUCAUAUGCUUCCAAGCUCUGGGGUACCUCAAUAAAGGCACUUUUGCUUUCUUCAUUUCAAACAGUUGACCAGCCAACUGACCAGCACCCUCUUCUCCCGUAGUAUACAUUUUUGGGAUUGUUUGAAAUUUGGCAUUCUUGCAUUUUUCUCGAUGGUUACAAGAUGAAACACUUUUGCUUCUCUUUUCUGCAAAACAAGUAUGAAUCACCCUCCCUCCAAAUAAUCCCAAUUUUCAUUUGUAGUGCCAAGAACCCAUCAAAGCCUUUGGGAGAAACUGGGGGAUAACUUCAGAAGGAAAACAGGAAAUUGACAGGAAAAAUUCCUACCUUGCCACAUUUGAAGGACACACAAUUAUAUUUGCAAAAUGGUCUUUAUAUUUAGUUCUUGUAUUUAAAAAAAAGAGCUUGGCUAGUUAAGUUGAAGGCUGGUUCUACAGUUUUAACCAGACUCUACUUAUUUCAACCUUAUAAUAUUCCAUUUGAAAUCUUGCUGUUUGGUAGUGAUCUGACAUCAGCUAAGGAAAAAUUGUACAGUAUACCCAAUUUAAAGGGAUCCUGAGUCUUAACAGGCCAUUUAUAUUACAGAAUUAAUUAAAGGGGAUGUGUAAUCCACUAAAUUGCUGUGUAAUCCUGCAUGUUGAAAACAUACACUUACUGGCGUCUCCCUGUCUCCAGUUCUGUGGGGGCGAAAUUCCUCUUUUAACGAAGAGCAGGAGUUGGCUUUUUUUUUGCCCCCUGUAAUUAAUGGCCUCACCAACCAAGUCAUUCUCAAGAUGGUCACAUGCUUGGAAAUGUUGCACUUGUGACUCUAUUUGCUGUCUUUUUAGAGACAAAAAGGACCGCACUUUUUUUUUGUUUCAUCCUUUAACAUUCCUCAGGGCACAGUCAUUUGGCAAAGAAUUUCCAUCACGUCAUACAUUUGGAGUCACCCAUACAAUCACUUCUUGACCUUUGUCCUCCAUGAUGUUAAUGGAGCAGUGUUAAAGCUAGAGAUUUUGGGGCCAGAAACUCCCCUUAUCAUAGUGGACUGUGAACGUUUAUAAAAUAUGAAAUUUGUUUGAAAUAUUCUAUUUAAAUUAUAUUAUUUUAUAUAUAGAAACUCUCCUCCUUUUACACCCCCUCCAAAAAAUUUAUGCAUUAUGUUUUUAGACUGAAUUUUAAUUUGCUGCUAAAGGAUUUGAGAUACUUUUUGAUUACUCUUCAUCAGUCUUUUCCCUGGACAGAAUUGUUUUGGAAUGUGCAAAGAUGGGCACCCAGCCCUUUUAAAGGAGUUUAACUUUGCUUGCCGUGCGUUUUCAGUGCACUGGAUAAUUGCUUCCCUCCAAUUCCUUUGUGAACUAUUUUAACCCAACUUGUACCUGUUGCAAGGGAGGUAACAUCCAAAUUAAUGCAAAUAAGACAGAAAUUUAAUACAUGUGCACUUCCAAUAGAGAAUAGAAAAUAGUUAAACCUACAAAAAUGAGAGCUCCAAACUUGCGUUUUACCAUGGAUUUCAAACAAGGAUUAGGGUUUCAAAGCAUAGAAAUGCAAUGUUAGUGGUAUAUGUCGAAAUGCCAACGAGUGUUCUGCAUUUUGAGCAAUACAGAUGAAUAAUACCCUUUCCCUCUUUGUAGACUAGCAUAUGAGAUAAAAGGAAGGAAAAGUACAUAUUAGUUGAAAACUAUGCCAAAGGAAAUGUUGGCAUAGCGUGUGGUGUGCAAUAAAUAGUCAACGAAAAAUGUGUUAGAAAAAUGUUCCGAGAACAACCAAGUGAAGUUACUCUGUCACAGACUGUGAAAUGUUUCUGUUUCUGUAUUAUUUAUGAUGCUGUUAACUAAUAAAUUACAGGAAUGAC